rnacentral:rRNA from 1 species
UACGUAGGGUGCAAGCGUUGUCCGGAAUUAUUGGGGCGUAAAGAGCUCGUAGGCGGUCUGUUGCGUCGGCUGUGAAAACCCGGGGCUCAACCCCGGGCCUGCAGUCGAUACGGGCAGACUAGAGUUCGGCAGGGGAGACUGGAAUUCCUGGUGUAGCGGUGAAAUGCGCAGAUAUCAGGAGGAACACCGGUGGCGAAGGCGGCAUUCUGGACCAUAACUGACACUGAGAGACGAAAGCCAGGGGAGCAAACGGG